CUUUUUUCUAGAAAUUAUAUAAUUCAUGUUAUUUUUAAUACAUCAAAUCAAACACUUCAUAAAAAAAAUAUAAAUAUAACUAAUACAAAUAUCACUAAUACAAGUAUUAACAAUACACCAUAUUUUUCAUAAUUUUUAUCUACUCUACCAAACUACCCCGGGAGUUAGAAGAAGUGAGUCUAUAUAUAGCCCUAUAAUCUACCUCUUCCUAUCCAAUGAAGUAUAAAGUUCUUAUUUCAUUUCCCUCCAUUCCCUUUUCCGUCGAUUUCUCAUUAAUGCUUUUUAACUUUAAAAAAUCCAACAGCACCUUCACAUAUAUCAGCCAUGGCAUCUCAAGACCAACACCCUUAAACCAAUCAACAAUCUAGGGUGCGCCUCUGACACCAUUGAGAUGCGAUUUCUAUUAACUUUCAUUGAAGAGGUGGAGGACGAGGAACCAACGAUGUUGGUGAGGAAGGGUUUAAUCUCCACGAUGAGUCCUCAUCCUUUUGAAAGGGAGUAAAUCUGGAUCAUUUCACAUUGUUCAGGGCCAAAUUAGCCUUUUUCUCUUCUAAAAAGUACUCAUGUAAUGGAAAGCUUCUGCUGUUACUGAAUAAGGGUAUAUUUGGAUCAACAUUAAAAUGACGAGGGUAUAUUUGACCCUACAUAUUAAUGGAAGACAGAUUUAGCCCAUUUUACAAAGUUCAGGCAAAAGUCUUGCAGCUGCUCAGGCAUUGCGUCGUGCACUUUCCACCACUUGUGGUGUGCAACAUCACUCGCGAAUUCUUGUAAGAUGUCUACGUUCCAAUUGCAAUCAUAGUCCCGGAAACACAACCAUGGCUUGUAUCCUAGGUAGUGAAGGACAUAAAGAAUCGGAGGAUCAGCCCCGAAAAGAUGUGUUUUCUUUGCUUUCACCACUUCAUCAUCACCAAUCCAGAAGUUCUUCAAGAAGUUCAUAUGCUUUGGUAUCCGAUGCCACCAAGUGAAUAUUUCGUUUAGGUAGCCUUGAUCACCUCCAUUAUAGGACUCAAUCUCAUUUAUGUGAUCCAUCAGGAGCUGGAACGUGCAAUUUGAUGGCUCGAUCACCAUGACACCGGAAUUAAAGAGCGUGCCAUUGUUUCCCGUAGCUGAAAUCUGUGGCAUCCUAAAUAAGAUGUCUAUGUUCCUAAGUAUAAGCAAAUCGGCAUCAAUGAAAAUGAUCUUGUCAUAAUCGGUCAGCUGCCAUAGCCUGAAUUUGCUGUAGUUCCAUUCAUUGUAGGCAUCUUUCUCUGCUUUAGGAUUUCUUAUUCUCUGUAUUGUCCUAACUUGCCAGCCUGCUGCCUCAAGUCCACUCCUAUGAUACUCACCAAUCGAAUCAUCAACGAGAAUCACGAGGUCCCUCGUGGACCCUACCAUUCUAAUGCUUUGUGCUGCUGCUAUGGCUCCACAUACAUAUACAUGAGCAGAAUGCAAGAUUGUUGCAUAUGCCUCACGCCUUUUGUUCCCCGUAUGUACUUCCUCUGUUACCAUAACAUAGACACUAUCAAUAUUUGAUAUCUUUGCAAAAGCAUUCACAUCGAAAGAAGGAAAAAACAAUAAAGUAUAUGUUACCUGUUGUACCAAAGGGUAGUGCAAGUUCACAUGAUCCUACAGGAAGUUGAACUUUUUCUCUUAGAACACUCAGAUCGGGCUUGUACAACCAGGCAUUACCUUUUCUAGCAAUGAGCUCUUUGCACCUAUAAAGAUUCGGUAUAGGGAAGCAUUUGGUUAUGAAAAGCAAAUGCACAGGAUGUUUACCCUUAGCAGAGGAAGCUAAACCAGCUGCAGCAAGUUGCAAGUGCAAUCGCGCAACAUCUCUAGACCAAUUCCCUUCAUUUCUACAAGGUAACUUGACAGCUAUGAGAUCGAUUCGUGUCCUAGGAACUUCAAGUUUUGGCAAAGUAGGACAACUUUGAACUUCAUCUUCUUGUUCUUCAUCAAUCCACUCUGGAUACAAGGUGUCCCAAGUCACAUUUUUUCCGGCGUAGUCCAGGUACAGGACUGUUUUAUUCGCAUUAGGAACAACUUGUGUCCAUUUAUUGAUUUCAUCUUUGUUGAAAUUUAGAAGGCCAAUGUUCUCAACAACUUUGUUUUGGUCAGGCAAUUGAUCCAAAACUUGAGAUACUUCCUCCCAACUGAUGUCUAUAUCUGAUAUGUAUCUAGGAUCUGAAGCACCCCAUAUCCAUCUGUUCACAAAAUGUUGCCUGCAUUACAUAAUUUCUUUCCAUUAAUAAACAACUAAUUAGCUAUGAGGCCCUCUAUUUUGAAUUUCAAGCCAA